GGUGGCGGGGUCAGAGGGGCGGCGCGAACAACGGGGCGUUUCAUCCCGAGGUGGUGAGGUUGCCAGGGCCCCGCCUGCCCCACGCCCGCCAGGCCAGCUCUGCGUUCUCACGCCGCGGGACACGCGACGCGAGUCCCCCGGGCAGGGCCCCCACUCACGGCUCCCGAUACUCCAAGGACUGAACAACUGGCAUAAGAAAGGCCUGAUUCCCUUCCAGAUGUCCCCCAAGGACUGAAGCGUUCGGGAAACCACACUGCUCCCUAAUGAAGCCCAGCAACCACUCCUGUCCACAGCUGUGAGUGAGGCUGUGAGUGUAGUUCGGGUUAGGUCCUGAACCCAGGAGGGGCUGAGAGUCCCUGGGAUCUGCAAUAACCACCUCAGGCCAGUGUGGGAUGUUGAUCUUGGAAAGAGCUUCUCCAGCCUUAAUCUCUGAGUCAGCGCUCCCGGAAGUUCCAUAUUUUCUUUAGUGCGUAAGAAACUACCCUCUACCACCAGCAGCGCCAUAUGUAAGCUGGUACAACCAGUUUGGAAAAUUACUCAGCAAAAUCCACAGAAGCCGAACAUACAUACAUCCCUAUG